rnacentral:rRNA from 1 species
UACAGAGGGGGCAAGCGUUGUUCGGAAUUACUGGGCGUAAAGGGCGCGUAGGCGGCCCGCUAAGUCGAACGUGAAAUCCCCAGGCUUAACCUGGGAACUGCGUCCGAUACUGGUGGGCUUGAAUCCGGGAGAGGUGAGUGGAACUCCGAGUGUAGAGGUGAAAUUCGUAGAUAUUCGGAAGAGCACCAGUGGCGAAGGCGGCUCACUGGCCCGGUACUGACGCUGAGAUACGAAAGCGUGGGGAGCAAACAGG